rnacentral:lncRNA from 12 species
UGGAAAUCCAUAUGGCUGAAGUCUGUUUUCAUGCAGCACAUUCAGCAGCUUAGACACAGAAGCCCCACAGAAGGAACUUCUAAACAAGAAUUCUACAUCCAUGGUUGGACUGCAUGAUCUUAAAGGUGUCUGCCAGCCUUGAUGGUUCUAUGAUUCUAUGAUUCAGAAGAUGACACAAGCCUCUUGAAGGUGAGGGGUUUCUGCCAAUCAGCUAAAUCAAAUAUAUCCAGCAAAGC